rnacentral:rRNA from 1 species
UACGUAGGGUACAAGCGUUAAUCGGAAUUACUGGGCGUAAAGCGUGCGCAGGCGGCUUUGCAAGACAGAUGUGAAAUCCCCGGGCUUAACCUGGGAACUGCAUUUGUGACUGCAUGGCUCGAGUGCGGCAGAGGGGGAUGGAAUUCCGCGUGUAGCAGUGAAAUGCGUAGAUAUGCGGAGGAACACCGAUGGCGAAGGCAAUCCCCUGGGCCUGCACUGACGCUCAUGCACGAAAGCGUGGGGAGCAAACAGG